rnacentral:rRNA from 1 species
UCCCUCCGGGACGCAGCCGUCGGGAAUAUUGCUCAAUGGGGGAACCCCUGACGCCGCCCCUCCCCUUUUCUUAUGAAGGUUUUCGGAUUGUAAACUCCUUUUGUUAGAGAAGAUAAUGACGGUAUCUAACGAAUAAGCACCGGCUAACUCCGUGCCAGCAGCCGCGGUAAUACGGAGGGUGCAAGCGUUACUCGGAAUCACUGGGCGUAAAGAGCGCGUAGGCGGGAUAGCAAGUCAGAUGUGAAAUCCUAUGGCUUAACCAUAGAACUGCAUUUGCAACUGUUAUUCUAGAGUAUGGGAGAGGG